AGUGAACGCUGGCGGUAUGCCUAACACAUGCAAGUCGAACGGCAGCACAGUAAGAGCUUGCUCUUACGGGUGGCGAGUGGCGGACGGGUGAGGAAUACAUCGGAAUCUACUUUUUCGUGGGGGAUAACGUAGGGAAACUUACGCUACUACCGCAUACGACCUACGGGAGAAAGCAGCGGCACUUCGGACCUUGCGCGAUUGAAUGAGCCGACGUCGGAUUGGCUAGCUGGCGGGGUAAAGGCGCACCAAGGCGACGAUCCGUAGCUGGUCCGAGAGGGUGAUCAGCCAGACUGGAAGUGAGGCACGCUCGCGACUCCGACGGGAGGCCGCAGUGGGGAAUAUUGGACGAUGCAGGCAAGCCUGAUCCAGCCAUACCGCGUGGGUGAAGAAGGCGUUCGGGUUGGAAAGCCCUUUUGUUGGGAAAGAAGAACAGCAGGUUAAUACCCCGCUGUUAUGACGGUACCCAAAGAAUAAGCACCGGCUAACUACGUG
rnacentral:rRNA from 1 species